rnacentral:sRNA from 2 species
CGCCCGUCAAACCACGAAAGUCAGCAAUACCCAAAACCGGUGGCCUAACCUGCAAAGGAGGGAGCCGUCUAAGGUAGGGUUGAUGAUUGGGGUUAAGUCGUAACAAGGUAUCCCUACCGGAAGGUGGGGAUGGAUCACCUCCUUUCUAAGGAGCAUAACAGUAAGAAUAACUUACAAAAACUCUACUCUCUCGUCAUAUUCAGUUUUGAAGGAUUUUCCUUCAAUAUAUUUAAUAAAAGUAAUAAGUUCUUUGAAAAGUAGAUAAAUUCUGUCGUAACAAAUAAUAAAAAAGUUUAAUUAGCAAUAAUUAAGCGCGUAAAAGGUUAAGAAAGUAAGGGCACACAGUGAAUGCCUAGGCACUAAGAGCCGAAGAAGGACGCAACUAACGGCGAAACGCCACGGGAAGCAGUAAGUAUGUGAAGAUCCGUGGGUAUCCGAAUGAGGGAACUCGGCAUGUAGAAGACAUGUCACGUCGAAAGACGAGGGAAACGCAGUGAAUUGAAAUAUCUUAGUAACUGCAGGAAAAGAAAGUAAAAACGAUUCUGCGAGUAGCGACGAGCGAAAGUGGAGGAGCCCGAUACCAUAAUAGUUACAAAACUUUAUGUGAGAAGAACAACCUGGGAAGGUUGACCAAAGAAGGUGAAAGUCCUGUAAACGAAGCAUAAAGACUAGGGUAUCAAAGAGUACAGCGGGACACGAGAAAUCUUGCUGGAACUAUAAGGAGGACCAUCUCCUAAGGCUAAAUACUACUUAGUGACCGAUAGUGAACCA